rnacentral:lncRNA from 1 species
AUGGGGACACGGGGAGGGCUCAGAUUCAGGGUCUGCUUGGGAAGCAGCUGCAGGUCCGCCAAAGGUGAGUCAAGGAUGAGUCCUAAGCAUCACAGGCCCAGGCAGCUGGGUGGCUGGGAGGAGCGGGAGGCCCUGUGUGGCUCAAGGGUGGGCUGGGGCUACAGGCAGCCUCGAAAGUCGUCUUCCUCUCCUGCAUGGUGCUCCCAGGGCCUUCCCAUUGUUCGCCCCAGCCCUGUCGCAUCCUCCUCGCAAGGCCCACACACUGGCUUCUUCCGAGUAGGAGCCACCGCUCCAAGAGGCCUGCGUCUCUCCUGGGCCACAAGGCCGCCCCGUGACUUUGGGGUGCUUGCCAUGCACACGGCUUCGCUCCAUCUUAGCCCUCCGACAGGUGUGCCACGUCCCUGGGGCAUGAGGACCCCACCCUUCCCAAGAGACAGAGUGAGAACAGUGGAGGGUCCCUCAGGCUUCGGUUCCAGGUUCUCAGUGGGAGGGACGGGGCCAGCCUCGGGGGCCGCACAGGGCUGGCCAGGCUCUUUCCAUGCACAGGCAGCCCAUGAGCACCUCCCAUACUCUGGGAAGGGGGCCAAGGAGAGUCAAAGGCAGCAGCCAGUGUGGCCCUGUGACCUACAGGUGCGGGUCGGGGAUCUGGGCUGCAUGCAGGAGAGGCCCCGGCAAUAGACCUGGGAAUCCAGCCUGCCAGGCGCAAGGCUUCCGGAGCCGCUGGCUGCGCUUCCUGUGCAGCUGGCCUUUCCUGGGAGGCCAUGCAGGGCACACUCAGUCCCUGCUUAUGUGACCUCCCACAGCUGGGCCCAUGUUCCCACACCCCGGUCACGAGGUGCAGGUCAGUAGGCUCUAGGGGAGGACCGGGCGCCAGGAGCAGCCAGGGGGUGGUUCAAGGGAGGGAGGACUCUGGCCUGGCACCCACGGUACUUGAGAGGGUGCUGGACUCCACGUGUGGCCACUCAGUCCCACCCAGUCCAGGGAAAGUCCUGGUCGGCCCCUCCUCACUAACAGGAGUCUGAGCCGCCAGGGACCCAGCCAAGCACCAGCUAGUGUCACUGUGCAGAGGGCUGUGCCCCUCUCGUCUAACUCUCUUAAGGCCUUCGAACUAGGACGACUCUUUCAACCCAUUUUACAGACAGCAGCAGAGUCAUAAGGUGACUUAGCAAACAUCACCAAGUCAACACAGCAUCCCAGGUGGACAGAGCUUCUCUGUGAUCCCGUCCUGCCUGCAGGCCCAAGUCAAGCUCCUGUGGCUGGCAGACAGGAAGGUCACAAACAAAGCAAGGGGCCGGGACAUGGAAAGGUCACCCACACGGGGACCAGCCCACACCACCCUCCAGAGGCUUCUAGGAGGUCAAGUGGUUGGGUCUGAGCAGCCCACAUCGCUCCCCGUGUGAUGGCUACAUCCCAGUCUCUCCCCUGCCACCCAAAGGGACCCCAGAGGUGCCAGCAUCACCCAGCGCAACAGCCAGUGGGCCAUACACCCUUCCACUGGGCCAGGGAGCUUGGCCACAGGCUGCGUGGCCUGGGGCCAAUUACUCCGCCUUUCUGUGCUUCAGGACCUUCUCCCCUAUUAAUGUGGCAGCAACUGUUUGCUAAGGUUUCAAGCCCAGCUCUUGGAGGAUGCAGUACGUAUGCAAUCAAAGGUCACUUACGGUGAAUGAAAAAUUAAUAAAGCCAGGAGCAGAAUGACAGCCUCCCGGCACUGUCCCUAAAAUGGAAACAAAUGUGCUCCACUCUCAACGAGGCAGAGGGGAGCCAAGGGCAGAUUCCCAGGCUCGCACCCUCCUGGCCCAGGCAGGGCUCGGCCAGCAGCCACCGUCCGGAUGAGCUCAUCGCUGGCACCUGCUUCGAAAGCACAUGUUUGGACUUUCCAGAUCUUUCCUCCCCUCUCUCUGACCUUCUACUUUGUGCAACCCCCCCCCCACUUUCUUACUCACUCUCUCCUUUCAUUACUGCUCAGAAAACAAAUAAUCGAGGCCAAAUGUGUCAGCUGGCUCCCUGGACGUCUCUGCAGCCAGGACGAGAGGCAGCGAGGCAAUGGGGAGGAUUAGUCAGCGUGGCCCCAGGUUCUCGGGAGUGGAGCUGAGCCGCGCUAGAGGUGCUGGUGGGUCCCUUGCUCCUGCUCCUCCAUGAGGACCCAACCCCCCCGAGUAUUUAGGGGCUGACAUCUCAUCCAGCGGCCCCAACUGCGCCAUGAAGGCCGCCCCCUUGGCGGAGGCAGGGUGGGUUGCCAUCUGCUGGCUUCCUGUGCAGCUUUCCUCUCCCACCAAUGGCCUGACCGUGAUGCCGGCCUGACCUCGGCGUUCACAGGUCACCCACCUGGUCCCCUGGCACUGGACUUGACCAAGGUCCCAGUGGGAAGAGGGAAGAGCUGAGAAGUGGGGCUGCAGCAGAGGCAGCAGAGGCAGCAGAGGUGGCCCUACCAGGAGAAGGAGGCCAGGGCCAACGAGCCACACGUCGCAGGGGACUCAAGAUCCCGGCCUUGGGAAAUGGGGCGGGGCACAGAUGGGGGGGUGAGGCAGGGGCUGCCGGCACCAGAGCGAGCUCAUAGCAGCACACCUCCUGUGGGCCGGCCUCAUGGGCCUCAGCUUCCCCCUCCUCCAGCUCAGGGAACCGCUGGCCUGGUUCCCUGGAGACAAAGGGGAACUGGUAGUGAGGAAAGAUGGUUUCCAAGUUCUCCGGCCCCUUCCUCCACCUGCAGCUUCCAUGACUUGGUCCCUCAUGCACAGCUCCUGGAGACAACACAAGGAGCCCCGUCGCUGUCCCCGUCCCGUGCUGCACCCACUGGCUGACCUCCCAGGAAGCCACACAGGCCACCUGCUACUGUCCUGGCUGCCCUGCCCAGCCCCAGGGCAGGGUGAUGACAAGGUCCCCCAGCCUCCCUCCCAGAGGCUCCUGCUGAUGCUUGGAGGGGCUGAGCGGGGCCCCAGGCAAUGUACUUCAGAGAGGAGCCUGGGCCAGCACCAGAAAGCACCCAGGACCAGCUAAAAGGAAAAUCCACAGGGCCUGGGGAGCUCUGGGCCUGGGCAUGUGGAAGCUCCCAAGCCCUUGGGGUGAAACUUAACCAAACCUGCACCCUGGCACUGGCCGAGGAUCCACCAGGGAGAAGCACCCAGGCUCGGGGUCUCCUGGACACUUGCUCUCUACUUCCUCCCUGGUUUCAGCACCAGCUCAGGUGAGUGGAAAAGCCACUCCUGGGUCCACUGAGCACAAUCAAUAAGCCCCAGUGAGCCCACCAGAAGCCACCCCAUCCCUGCACACACAUGGGGAUGCAUUCGGGAUAGUCAAACACCCUGUGCAGGGAUGGGGAGCCAGACUGGCAGACAGGGAGGUGGGAGUGGCAGUCAGGGUCUCCUGCUCUGUGCUGAGCGAGCCCUGAGGUCACAUGGCCAAUAAGUCUCCAUCCCCCCACCCCCCCAACUGAAGAGGCACAGAGCACACCCACUGCACCCUCCCCACCCGGCCAGGCCACAGGAGCAGCCCGACUCUGCCAGGGUCCAACCCAGACGCUGACUGCUGUGGGGCCCUGGACAAGUGCCUGAGGCUCUCUGGGCCCCAAAUGCUUAAUCUGGGAAAAUGACCUGCAGGGCAAGGGGCGCCAAAGGAUCCUGCCCUUCUCCAGCCACCUGAGAUAAGGGUUUGAGGAGGUAUUGCCAGACGAUCCAGACCCAGAAGGACCCAGAAAAUCUUGGAACCCUGCAAGAGAGGAGCCCUUGUGCCAGCUGAUGGCAGAAGGGGAAAAAGGGAAGAAAAGAGCCAGCCAGGCAGGGUCUCCAAGGAGGGACGGAGAAGCAGGGAGAGCGGAAGGGAGAAGGAAAAGCUGGCAGAGUGCAUCGAGACCCCAGGGACUGUCGCCCGGAGGCA